rnacentral:rRNA from 1 species
UGCAAGUCGAGCGGAAACGAUGGUAGCUUGCUACCAGGCGUCGAGCGGCGGACGGGUGAGUAACGCGUGAGAAUCUGCCCAUUUGUGGGGGAUAACUCGGGGAAACUCGAGCUAAUACCGCAUAAUCCCUACGGGGGAAAGCAGGGGACCUUCGGGCCUUGUGCAGAUGGAUGAGCUCGCGUCGGAUUAGCUUGUUGGUGAGGUAAAGGCUCACCAAGGCGACGAUCCGUAGCUGGUCUGAGAGGAUGAUCAGCCACACCGGGACUGAGACACGGCCCGGACUCCUACGGGAGGCAGCAGUGGGGAAUCUUGGACAAUGGGGGCAACCCUGAUCCAGCCAUGCCGCGUGUGUGAAGAAGGCCUUCGGGUUGUAAAGCACUUUCAGUAGGGAGGAAGGCUUACCGCUAACAACGGUGAGUACUUGACGUUACCUACAGAAGAAGCACCGGCUAAUUUCGUGCCAGCAGCCGCGGUAAUACGAAAGGUGCGAGCGUUAAUCGGAAUUACUGGGCGUAAAGCGCGCGUAGGCGGUUUGUUAAGUCAGAUGUGAAAGCCCCGGGCUCAACCUGGGAAUUGCAUUUGAAACUGGCAGGCUAGAGUGCAGUAGAGGGAGGUGGAAUUUCCGGUGUAGCGGUGAAAUGCGUAGAGAUCGGAAGGAACACCAGUGGCGAAGGCGGCCUCCUGGACUGACACUGACGCUGAGGUGCGAAAGCGUGGGGAGCAAACAGGAUUAGAUACCCUGGUAGUCCACGCCGUAAACGAUGUCUACUAGUCGUUGGGAAUCUUAGUAUUCUUGGUGACGAAGUUAACGCGAUAAGUAGACCGCCUGGGGAGUACGGCCGCAAGGUUAAAACUCAAAUGAAUUGACGGGGGCCCGCACAAGCGGUGGAGCAUGUGGUUUAUUCGAUGCAACGCGAGAACCUUACCAGGCCUUGACAUCCUUGGAACUUUCUAGAGAUAGAUUGGUGCUUCGGGAGCCAAGUGACAGGUGCUGCAUGGCUGUCGUCGGCUCGUGUCGUGAGAUGUUGGGUUAAGUCCCGUAACGAGCGCCACCCUGUCUCUAGUUGUGCAGCACUUCUGGGUGGGAACUCUAGGAGACAUGCGCGGUUG